rnacentral:lncRNA from 1 species
UGUACCAUUUGCCGGCCAGUACGAUAUAGCAGCAAAUACAUCCACAAACAACAUUGUUUUAAAACAGAACAUAUUAGGAAGAACCAAGGUUUGCAAUACCAGUAUUGCACCCCGUACCACUUGCCGGCCAGUACGGUACCGUACCGUACCGGCCUACACCGACAAUAAAAAAAAUCCACCCAACGGCCAAAAAGAAAAAAAAAAAAAGAAAACCAACCCGUACUGAUCCGUACC